CGACACACUAUCGUUAACUGAAUACAUAGGUUAACGAGGCGAACCGGGGGAACUGAAACAUCUAAGUACCCCGAGGAAAAGAAAUCAACCGAGAUUCCCCCAGUAGCGGCGAGCGAACGGGGAGCAGCCCGGAGUCUGAAUCAGCUUGUGUGUUAGUGGAACGGUCUGGAAAGUCCGACGGUACAGGGUGAUAGUCCCGUACACGAAAAUGCACAUGCUGUGAACUCGAAGAGUAGGGCGGGACACGUGGUAUCCUGUCUGAAUAUGGGGGGACCAUCCUCCAAGGCUAAAUACUCCUGACUGACCGAUAGUGAACCAGUACCGUGAGGGAAAGGCGAAAAGAACCCCGGCGAGGGGAGUGAAAAAGAACCUGAAACCGUGUACGUACAAGCAGUGGGAGCCUCUUUAUGGGGUGACUGCGUACCUUUUGUAUAAUGGGUCAGCGACUUAUAUUCUGUAGCAAGGUUAACCGUAUAGGGGAGCCGAAGGGAAACCGAGUCUUAACUGGGCGUUAAGUUGCAGGGUAUAGACCCGAAACCCGGUGAUCUAGCCAUGGGCAGGUUGAAGGUUGGGUAACACUAACUGGAGGACCGAACCGACUAAUGUUGAAAAAUUAGCGGAUGACCUGUGGCUGGGGGUGAAAGGCCAAUCAAACCGGGAGAUAGCUGGUUCUCCCCGAAAGCUAUUUAGGUAGCGCCUCGUGAACUCAUCUUCGGGGGUAGAGCACUGUUUCGGCUAGGGGGCCAUCCCGGCUUACCAACCCGAUGCAAACUACGAAUACCGAAGAAUGUUAUCACGGGAGACACACGGCGGGUGCUAACGUCCGUCGUGAAGAGGGAAACAACCCAGACCGCCAGCUAAGGUCCCAAAGUCAUGGUUAAGUGGGAAACGAUGUGGGAAGGCACAGACAGCCAGGAUGUUGGCUUAGAAGCAGCCAUCAUUUAAAGAAAGCGUAAUAGCUCACUGGUCGAGUCGGCCUGCGCGGAAGAUGUAACGGGGCUAAACCAUGCACCGAAGCUGCGGCAGCGAC
rnacentral:rRNA from 1 species